AGAGUUUGAUCAUGGCUCAGAGCGAACGUUAGCGGCGGGCCUAACACAUGCAAGUCGAACGAGAAAGUCCCUUCGGGGACGAGUACAGUGGCGCACGGGUGAGUAACACGUAGGUAAUCUACCCUCCGGCGGGGGACAACGUUCCGAAAGGGACGCUAAUACCGCAUAAGACCACGGCCUCUAAGGGGGCAGUGGGAAAAGGUGGCCUCUCCUUGGAAGCUACCACCGGAAGAUGAGCCUGCGUCCCAUCAGUUAGUUGGUAGGGUAAUGGCCUACCAAGGCGAAGACGGGUAGCUGGUCUGAGAGGAUGAUCAGCCACACUGGUACUGGAACACGGACCAGACUCCUACGGGAGGCAGCAGUGAGGAAUAUUGGGCAAUGGGCGAAAGCCUGACCCAGCCACGCCGCGUGAGUGAUGAAGGCCUUCGGGUUGUAAAGCUCUGUGGGGAGGGACGAAAAACCGUGGUUCGAAUAGGGCCAUGGCUUGACGGUACUUCCUUAGCAAGCACCGGCUAACUCUGUGCCAGCAGCCGCGGUAAGACAGAGGGUGCGAACGUUGCUCGGAAUUACUGGGCGUAAAGCGCGUGUAGGCGGACCAUUAAGUCAGGUGUGAAAUCCCUGGGCUCAACCCAGGAACUGCACUUGAAACUGGCGGUCUUGAGUGAUGGAGAGGGAUGCGGAAUUCUCGGUGUAGAGGUGAAAUUCGUAGAUAUCGGGAGGAACACCAGUGGCGAAGGCGGCAUCCUGGACAUUGACUGACGCUGAGACGCGAAAGCGUGGGGAGCAAACAGGAUUAGAUACUCUGAUAGUCCACGCCGUAAACGAUGAGUGCUAGGUGUCGCGGGUAUGACUCUGCGGUGCCGUAGCUAACGCGUUAAGCACUCCGCCUGGGGAGUACGGCCGCAAGGCUAAACUCAAAGGAAUG
rnacentral:rRNA from 1 species